UUCUCAUUUUCCCCCAUCUUAGACCCGCCUCGCCUUGUGGUUUUGCUCUUAAAAUUCCCUAGAAAAGACAGAGCUAUGGGCAACCCACCCCAGCCCCUCUUCUGUCCCUCAAUUGGACAGAAGCUUGCUUUCCCUCAAUAUAUUCUGCCCUUAACCUCCGUUGUUCCUAAAAUUCAUUCUUCGAUUUUAGAGAACACGAACUCGUCCCAGAUAUCGUUCAGGUUGGGAGUCUUUAUUUUCCUGUAUCAUUUGAAACAAUCUCAAUGUCUGUCAGGGACACCAAACAAACUUUGGUUUAAUCACGGAAUAUGGGGCAGUCAUUGAACAUUUGUGGAAAAUAUGAAAUGGCACCUGAGGCAAGUUGGCAUACUUUGGUGUUUUCUCAAGGAUUCCAACAGAACGUUAAGCCUUUGAAGUGUUUUUUGAAAAAAAAAAAAGUUUCCUGGUAAAAUAAAUUUGAGACACAUUACAUAUAUUAAUGCUCUCUGAUAGAGAUUUAUACAGUAUUGUUAGUACAUUAAAAGCUCUGGAAUUUUCUGUAGUAAAGAAACCUAUUUUGGAUUUAACUCAGAAUUUUCAUCUUUUUUUAAUCUUUUUUUCAAGUAGUAUUUAUUAACAUCCAAGGACCUACUGUGUGUGGUCAGAGCGCUCCCUGGGGCUUGGUACAAAGGGAACUGGGCUCAGAGGUGAGGAGGGGUCACGGCCGGCUGAGGUGACCCCAGCUCCUCAAGAGGGCGAUAACAUUCAUUGCCAAGGGCUGGCAGGCGAGUUCGGGACGGAGUCUGCUUAUCUUGAUUCUUUUUUGACUCUUUACCUGCAACACACACCUUCCUCCUUCCUCCUUCCCCUUCCUUCUAACCCCAAAUCGCACGUAACAGCAGCACAGUGAAAACGGGAUUCCUGGAACCCUCCCAAUCCUUCAGACCACCCCAUCUGCCUGAGGCAAAAUUCCUUAAACAGAUCAGCGGGCUGUAAAGGUCAGAGCAGCAAAGCUCUGCUCUCCAGGAAUGCGCUGGGCGGAAAAAAAGUGAGGUUUCAAAGAAGCCCGAGGCAGUGGGCUUUGAGGGACGGCUCCGAAGCAAGGCCUGCAGAGGACGCUGGGUCCUCGGUGAGCGGGACACAGCCAGGAGCCAGGUCUGGAGGGUCAGCCACUCUGCCUCAGGCACCAAGGCCCCGCAGAAGCCGUCACCCUCCCGGGGAAGGCAGCCCAGAGAGGGUCAAGGACAGAAGCCAAAGCGAACCAGCAGUGGGCCUGGGAGGACUCAAAUGGAGAAGGAAGUAGAGAAGAAAAUUCCUGACAUUCCCAGCAUUCUCAGCUGGCAAAAGCUGAAUGGAAAAGCACAGCAGUGAAAGACCUUUCUGUGCCAUUCGGGAGAAUGCUUUCCAUUUUACACAGACCCUCUCUCUUCCUGCAGAGCCAGGCCUACUUAACAUCCCGCGCAGAGAGCCAGGGCCUGGCGGCUGGACGCCUGGGUGGAAGGCGUUGGGAGGCUGGUGCCAACCUACGGGCAGCCACUACUUCCAGAAACCGCAUCAGGAGACCUGUGCCUGCCUUACUAGUGUUCAGUUACUUUAAAAAUUUUUUUUUAGCUUGAUGCAUGCCUUUUGCAAAGACGGGAGAGCUUGUCUCUUUUCUUUUCCUCUCUUUCCUUCUACCGUGUCGCCGAAGCCAAAGAACACUCGGGGACCCAAGGGCAGAAGGAAAGGCAGCAGGACGAAGCUGGGAUCCGGGCGACCCCAAGACCUCGGGCUCCAUUCUGACUGGCGCUGUGAUGCAACACGACCCCAAACACCUUUCCACAAAAAAGAUCAGUGGCAGGGCAGAGACGCGUGCUUUCAAAAAGACAGUGAAUGGACGGGCUUAUCCCAGUCCUAGGGUACAGACCCCGAGGAUUUGAAACGCUGCAGAAAUUCCUUCUUCCCCUCACGAAGCUAUGACGGGCAGGCAGCCUCCGAUCAGACAGCAGGGAACUUGCUCGAAGUGCACCGCUCCUGGCUACGCGCCUGUCUCCCGGGAGGCAGGCAGACGCAGGCAGGGCUCGGGGCAGAGCGGUCCGCACCGGCUCGCCGCGUCAGUCGAGAAACAGGCGCCGCGCUGUAACACGUUCACAGUCGCGCACAGUGCCACCCUCAGGUCACACACGCGCAGGCCCCGGGCGGCCGGCCGGCCCCGCAGCCAGGCUCGCAGCCUGGGACCGCCGCAGCCGCGCGCGCCCGGCCAGGAGGUGCUCCCGAGACCGCGCUCGGCCGGCCGGGUGAACCGAACGCCCACCUCCGCGAUUCCCAAGGCGGGCGCGCGGGGCCCCGGGAGGGGCCGGAAGACACUCAGCUCCCGCGUGUCUGCUCCGUACACCGGGGACGGGCAGCCCGCUCACCCGGCCCCGGGGGUGCAGGAGCCCGCGGCGCUCCCGCCACCCCUCGCAGGCGUCGGGGUUCUCCCCGCCCUGCGGCGCGGGCGCGCGGCCGCCCUGACCGAGCUCUCUCCUCAGGGCCACAGCGAACGGAGGACCAAGGGGCCGGUGCCCCGCCGCAUCGGGACGCGGCUUCCCGGGAAACCGGCCCUAGACGGCUGGCCGAGGCCGCCCUCUCCCCUCAGCUCUGGCGGCUGCGGGCUCCGCCCUCCGGGGCGCAAGGCUCGCGGGCCGCGAAAGCAGCCGGGGCAGCGCCCCCUGCAGGGCGGGCCGGGCCCAGCGCCGGACUGCGCCGGUGGGGCCGAAGGGAGGACUCCGCCCGUCACGCAGGCAUCGCAAGCCUGGGGUUUCCAUCACCCCAGGGCCCUCAAGAUGCAGCUGGGCCCUCCUCAGAGGCCACAGGACACACUCAUUUUAAACUUCUUAUUGCGGAAAGGGCCGAGCGUGACGAGCGUCCACGUUCCCAUCCCCGGCUUGAGGGUCCUCACUGCGGAGCCCUGAAGCAAACCCUGCCGCCUCGAACCUUAACUGAGCGCCGGGGGAUGCUUCGGUUCGUGAACUCCUUCUCACUCGUGAAGAGUAAAACGCGAGCUCCCUACGGUGGUGUCCAAGGCACAGCCCCUGCGCCCUCGUCCCUGUGCCCCAGGGGGACCGCUGGACUCCACAGCCCGGCCCUGCCUUCCCAAGCCGCUGCGGGCCCACACGCCGCCUCCCAAAGGCGCAGCGACUGGCACACCCGCCAUUCACCCGAAACAAAGCGCCACUCAGAUCGCUGUCACAGACACCGCUGACAAGAAGCCCGCCCGGUCCCCUUCCGGCCCCGCCGCACACCGGCGGGUGCCCGUCCCACGCCACGCGGGAGCGAACUGACGGCCGCCAAACAUCCCUGGCCCCGGGCCCGCAGUGCAGGGAGCACAGGAGGUUGCCCCCCGCCACCCUGAGAUGGGGAGGCGACCUGGUCCCCGGGCCCGAGCGGAGCCCCGAGGGCCGCCGUGCAGCGCUGGAGGGCGUGGGCCCCGCACAGACAGCGAAGGGGGCUCGGCCGCUCUGCGUGUAGCCUGGGACACCGCGUCGCCUCUGGACCCCGAGCCUGGAGACAGGAAACCUGCACUGCCCGAGGCAGCGAGUGUGCGGCAGUCGCAGGAACUACGGAAAGCAGAUGGCCAACGUGAAGCGGAUGGAAAGGACGACACCCGGCCCCUGCCGGCCCUGCCUCCCCCACGCGACCUAGGGAAUCAGCUGCAUACAAGGAGACGGAGGGGAAGGAAGCGGAGAGCGCGCCUGGGUGAAGCGCAUCCUCCCCGGCCGGCAGCCUGCGGGGGGGCACCGCCACGGAGCAAAGGGAGGCAGGCAGGGGUCUGCUGGGAAGAGGGACCCUAGGAGGCGUGGCACGGCCUGGGCCCUGUGCAUGGUGGCGCAAGAGGAGGCUGCCCGUGGGGCUGAGAUGUGGUUCCUGCCUGUGGCCUGGGCCCAGCCACCUCCUGGCCACAUGUCCCUAAGGACCCCAGGUUAUGGGGUGCCCCUCCUCUCCAGGCAGGGCAGUGGCUUUGCAUAGAUCACCUGCUUUCCCAGGCUACAGUGUCAGGGUACCAUGCGCUCCAGGGGCAUCUUGAGCCCUAGGGCCAGGCUCACACUUUCUGUUCUGGUGAUGAGCAGCAGUCCCCAAAUGUCACUCUUAACUCUUGCAAAAGGGGCGCAGGUGGAGGCAGGAUCCAGUGCGCAUGAGCUGAUGUCAGCUGUUGAGAAAGAUGGAGGGAUGAAGGCUGCAUGUUUACUGCACCUGCAGGCCACCCUCUUGGGCCAGAGGGCAUCCCUAGGGACACAGUUCCCAGGGGAUGGGGGGGGACCAUGUCACGGGUGAAACAUGGCCCCCCACAGCAGGCUGGAGAAGGGCUGAGAUGUGACAGGCAGCAGGACAGGCAGUGGAGAGGCUGGUAAGAGCCUGGCUCAGCGGGAACGCCCAAGGUCACAAUCUCCUCUGACUUUUCCAGCGGCCUAUGAGCAGUGAACCACUUUCUUGACCACAGGUUCUGGGACCCUGAAGACAGAAGGAAAGAGCCAAAGUUCCUGUGGUGUAUGGAAAGCCUGAUCUUGACCUUGGCUGGACAUGAGCCUCUGCGGUGCCCUGCGCCUCCUCUGGGUGCCUACUGGGACCUACCUCUGGGUGGUGCAUCCUUGCACCUGGAGCACAGGCUCACCGAUCAGCUAACAUUUACAGGAAGAUUAACCGGAGGUAGAUAAACAAGCAGCCUGCUUAUGUAGUACAGGGCACCCAGAUACCUUGAUUGCACACGUCAGACCAUCAGCUCCUGGAGGAGGAAACCGGAGCCGGGCUCUGAGGGCCCCAUCUCACUUCCUCCAGCUCGACAUCCAGUCUGCUUGUCACAGCAGAACUUCCUGGACUGUUCGCGCUCUGAGAGCAAGGGGCAGGCGACUACGGAAAUCCAGGAAUUGAACUCAUGGCCUCAGGCUGACCAGGCAAGCACUUAUGCAGCUGAGCUACAUCCCCAGCUAUCACUGCACCUUCUGCACUCCUUCCUUUAGGGGCCACAGUGAGAGCAGACCUCACGCAGGCCCAGGAAACCUCACCCUUCAUGCUCGUUCUGGGAAAAAUGAGCCACUCGAACAAGAAAACUCAGCUCCAGGCAUUUCACUGCAUUUCACAAACCAGACCACAACAUUAUCUGAGGAAAACAUGAUUUCCCCACUUGGGAAGAUCUGAAGCCCACACGCUGGAAAUGUGGUACCAUGUCGGAGGUGCGGAAACUGAGCGGCAGAGACGGGAAGAAGCCGCCCGAGAAGAUGAGAACUAAGCAGCAUCGGGGGCACAAGAGGACAAGGGCAGCCCAGAGUUGGCAGAUCUUUUGGUCCCUGAGUGCUCGGACUGCAAUGGUGGGACGCCAUCUACACCCUAUCGAUGCUUGACAUUCUCCUGCUAUUGAGCUCUGAGGAAACUGGAGGCCCCGACACAGUUGGGAGGGAGGAGAUACAAGCCUCAGAAGCUCAUCUGUCUCCUCGCCCAGACUCCCUUCCCAUCUCUCCUUCUCCCUCCUUCUCGGAUGAGUUAAAGGAAAAGAAGAACAUCUGUUUUAAAACAGAAUAAGCAAGGUAUAAGCUGCCUCACCCACAUUUCUUAUAACAGUUCCCGCUGCUUCCUGGUGUCUCCAGAGAGCGGUUUGUCCCAACGUGCAAACUCUGUGGCUAAGCAAAAGCUUCAGCUUAUCUAAGAAGUCUUCGAAAGUGUGACCUUAACUAUUAAAAAAAAAGAUUACCAUCAAUUUUUAUUUGAAUCACACUUCCUGCCAAAGGAACCAACUGUUCCUCUGUGAGCCUUUCCUUCGCCACAAGCUAUUGAUUGAGCAAGACAGGACCUUGGAAAGAGGACAGGACCUUGGCUGUAGGGAAUAUGGGGUUUAUGAAGGCACCAAGCUCCAAAUUUUGGAUUUUUAUUGUUGUGUACUAUAACAUUUGCCAAACAAAAUUUUACUGGUCCUGAGUUGCCGAUCUAGCAAACAAAACAAAACAAAACAGGACGAAUACUGAUCACAAUUGCAGUAGGCAACUCUUCAAAUAGCUCCUAGUGAUCCUGGCCCCAGGGGACUUAGUCCCGUGUGUAACCAGGACCCGGGCGCUCCUAAAUACAGGAUCCCCCUAAAGUGAUGGGCACCCCUGCUGAGGGCACCAAGAUGAGACACUGGGAGCCCCAGUGUACAGCCAUGGCCACUUCUCCCAGGAAGCGCGUCUUCCCGACAGUGGCCAGAACAGUGUGGAAGCAGAACCUGCCUCAGAGCCACUGUGGAGUGACCAUAACCCCACCUGACACCUGACUGUAACCUUGCAGGAGACCCUGAGCUGGAGGAACGGCUGGGCCGUGCCCAGAUUCCCGACCCACAAGAACUGGGAGGUAAUACAAGCGCGUUGUUGAAAGCCUCACCUUUUGAGGAAACUCAUUACCCAGUAGCAGACAGCCGAUACAGACCCAACAGAGGCACUUAUUAAGCACUGACUUGAUGCACGCAUGCUGCAUCCUGAAUCAUGCGAGGCCCGGAUGCAGCAGGGCCAGCCCACCUCGCAGGUGAGGUCUACAGGGUUCAGGGCAAGUGGGCAGUGUGGGCAGUUGGCCCACAGCAGAUGAUGAGGGCAGCACUGGGCAUGACUUAGAAGGCUCUGCUCUGACAGCAGUGAUUCGGAAUACUCUACAGCUCUCUGGACUGUGAGAAAGGAAAUCAAACCACUUGACUCUUUUAUUUAAGGCUUCGCUGUCCACUCGUUUGGCAGACUGCGGGCCUGAUCAGUCUACAAUAACUAGGGGAUAAUAUUAACCCGACUUUGCUUUGCCUGACAAAAUCUACUGAGGAUGAUUUAAGCCCUCAGGGUAAAGCCAAAGUCACCAAAUGAAGCUGGCAAGAAUAAAGCUGUGUAAUAAUCCAACAGCGAUAAUUCAAUCUAAGGGCCAGUACCUAGGGAAGGCAGCACAGCUGCCAAGAUCAGAAAACAGGAUGGGAGAUCUCAGAACAGCUUUUAAGAUCUCAUCGGGGACACCUCUCUGCAUCGCUUUGAGGAACUAUCAGCACAGCUCCUGCGAGGUGCUGUGAGGUUUCGCCUGCUGUCAUCUCCACCUCAUUAGGAAUUCUUCGUCUGAUGUCAUUCCCCCACGUCAUUCCACACCACCAGAUCCCAAGAUCACCAAUUCUGUCUGUGCCCUGCCCCCCUGGCCCUGCAGCAGAGCCCCUCGGUCACAAGGCCCGAGCUCAGACCCUAAUGUGACAAAUGACGCAUCACUGCAGUUCCUGGCACGGGCAGCACGUGGCCACCACCGGCCAGUCCCAGAAGAGCCCUGCCUUCAGCCUCCAGCACUCCUGCUCCACCGACACUGGAAAGCACUCCCCCGCUUUGACAAGUGCAGGGACAGGAACACACAGGGACAUGCGACCACAGCUGAGGGUUCAGAGCUGGGCAUCCAUCUGAUGUCACAAGGAUGUGUCAGCCAGGCAGGGCAGGAGGAGCUCCGGGAGUGAGAUGGGUAGGGAGUGAGGGCAGUGGGCUGGUGGCACCAAGAGAACCCAGGCGGCGGGACACACAUGGAGCCCGGGCUGCUGCUGCCUCCACGGUGUCCGCCUGCUCCUCUGCCCUCCUGACCUGCUCCCCGGGAACCCGACCUGACAGAGGCCUCUUGCCGUUUGCCCUCACCGGGCAGUCACCUCCCACUUUUGCGUUCCCGCACACUCCCUAAGGGGUCUGAAGCACCCAUGCACACACACAUAUGCUCGUGUACACGUAUUCACUUGCACACAUGCAUGUGUGCACACAUCUACAUACACACAUACACUUAUAACUACCUGUGCAGCACAGGCCCUCGGCUUGCUGAUCGGCCAGGCUGAGUGGUAUUUGUAGGGGUGAGUGGCCGGCAGGCACUUACCCGGUGUUCAUCACGGCUGAGAGCACAGUGACCUCUCCUUUUGUCUGCGCUACGUAACUGAACGCAACAUGUAAACCAAGCUUGCUACGGAGCCGGACAGACACACAUCCCAUGCACACCCUGCUGCCCUGGCACGAUGUGGCUGUUCCGGGUCAUCCGCAUGGCCUCGCAUCUGAGGUUGAGCCCCACCACCCAGAAGCGCCUUUCCUGUAGGCUCCGGGCUCAGGGUGCCUAACGGAGGACCCCCUGGAGGCGAUGCUGCGGCAGGCCUCUGGCACACAGGAGGACGGUCUGGCAGUGGCCGCCCACCAAGGCAACUCCUGUACCCACAGCCGCCCCCUCUGCUGACAGACAGCCACCCCUCCUGCUUCCUCAGGGGCCAAACCUGUCCCUCAGGUGUUUCUGUGUGCAUCUGCUUCUCCCACCUUCAGUGACCUCUGCCAGCCUUCCCUUCCCCUCACACACUACACAAGUUCAAUCUCACAAUCAGUGUUCCCAUGAUUGUCACAGUAGCUCUGCUUCCCUGCCUGGACCCACCAGGGAGAAAUGACCCGGAAACAAAAGGGUAGACCCAGAGACUCUAGAGAGAGCAGACCCAGAAGGGUACCCAGAGAGCAGACCCAGGCAGGAGCCACACAGGAUACUCCCCAGGGAUCAGAAAGACAGGCCACCAAGGCCACGGCCACUCCCUGUCACUCUGCUGGGGAGUUCAGGCCGUCCUGAGGGCCAGGGAAUCUACGAAACCGACUCAGUGGCAGAACCUUAAGAGGAUUAGCUAGAAACCAAAUUGGAGACAGAGGCCACAUGAGGCUGUUUACACAUUUGUUGGUUUUUAUUAAGCACCUACCAGGCGCCCAGCACUAUCACAGAUGCUAGUGACCUGGAUGGAAGUGCCAGCUUCUGCCACAUCCCGGCUACGACUCGGUGACGAGGCUUGGUUUACACUCUGUGUUCAGUUACACAGAACAGACAGAAUGGAGGUCAUGAGCCCCCCUGAAUGAACACCGUGUCAGUAACUGAGGAUCUGUUACUACAGGGCCUGUGUCGCACAGAUAGUUCAGGACCCAUUGUGAUCCCUUAGCCAAGGCGGUGACUGCUGCAGGUAUGGUUGAACCUGCAAGAAUCAGCCCCAAGAGGCUGGCACAGAGAAGAGUGAAUGGCCAGUAAUGUCCACAGGAUUUACAGCAAGAGAGUUGAGACUGCUCGCUCUACCUUCCUUACUCCCUCCCAUCUCUGACCAAGUAAUGAUGGCUUCUCACCCACCCGAUUCUGGGAAUCACCCUGUACUUAUGUACACCAAGGCCUGGGCGCACCAGGACUGGACAGCACAUCCAGACAGCAGCUUGGGACAAAGGCAGGGAGCCAGACAGGAGGCAAGUUGGGGCCUGGGGGCCAGAAAGCCCUGGCUGCCGGUCCAUCUGCACCACCCGACUCUGCUGCAAACGUGUCCUCCUGGCUAAAGGUUCCUCUGUCAUCCAGGACUUUCCAACCCUUGAAGAGACUUACAAAACUCAACCAAAAGUCAUCAGUGAACUUCCACCUCCAGGGAAAACACCAUGAGCCUUCACCUCCAAUUGUGCUCUUUGAAAAUAAAGGAUAUGGUAUUAUUCUUACUUGCAGAAAUUUUAUCAAGAAAUGUAUGGUAGCCUAAGUCACUAUUCCUGCACACUCCCAGCGUGUCCUGUCAAGGAGGAAAUGUGGGUACAGCUGGGACACCGCGGGCAACAGAGCACAGUCAGACAUAGACACACUUCCCAGCGACAGCCCCAGCCCGUGCCCUGCUGAUGGUCAGCGGCUACAACAGGGAGCCCAUGCUUUCAGUCCUGAACAGUGCCCUCCACCGCUCCCCAGAAGAGGGUGAGGUGAAAGUCAAAGAGGAAAGCCAGCAGCCCCCAACAGGGCUAUAUAGGAUGGCACCCCGCAGAGGCACCACCGUGUCGAUGAUCCGAAAGUCCAGCCCUGGUUUUACACAAACAGCUCCUACACAGAACACCCCAGAAACCUCACUACACAUGGGGAGCUCCUGUCUCAGAGGCAGGGCCACAGGCACUGGUGUAGAUGUGGCCCAAAUGGCAGGUGCACACGGCCACCUGGGACAA